rnacentral:rRNA from 1 species
AACGCGAAGAACCUUACCUGGGUUUGACAUCCCACGACAACCGUAGAGAUACGGCUUUAGUAGCAAUACUACGUGGAGACAGGUGCUGCAUGGCUGUCGUCAGCUCGUGUGGUGACAUGUUGGGUUAAGUCCCGCAACGAGCGCAACCCCUGUCCUUAGUUGCCAGCAUUCAGUUGGGCACUCUAGGGAGACUGCCGUGGUGAACACGGAGGAAGGUGGGGAUGACGUCAAGUCCUCAUGGCCUUUAUAUCCAGGGCGACACACGUGAUACAAUGGACGGUACAGAGGGUAGCGAAGUGGCAACACGGAGCCAAUCCCAAAAAGCCGUUCUCAGUUCGGAUUGGAGUCUGCAAUUCGACUCCAUGAAGUUGGAAUCGCUAGUAAUCGCGGAUCAGCACGCCGCGGUGAAUACGUUCCCGGGCCUUGUACACACCGCGCAUA